rnacentral:rRNA from 1 species
GACGAACGCUGGCGGCGUGCUUAACACAUGCAAGUCGAGCGGUAAGGCCCUUUCGGGGGUACACGAGCGGCGAACGGGUGAGUAACACGUGGGUGACCUGCCCUCAGCUCUGGGAUAAGCCUGGGAAACCGGGUCUAAUACUGGAUAUGACUCCAUGACGCAUGUUGUGGGGUGGAAAGCCUUGUGCGGCUGAGGAUGGGCCCGCGGCCUAUCAGCUUGUUGGUGGGGUGAGGCCUACCAAGGCGACGACGGGUAGCCGGCCUGAGAGGGCGACCGGCCACCCAUGGGACUGAGACACGGCCCAGACUCCUACGGGAGGCAGCAGUGGGGAAUCUUGCGCAAUGGGCGAAAGCCUGACGCAGCGACGCCGCGUGAGGGAUGACGGCCUGG